rnacentral:hammerhead_ribozyme from 1 species
AUCCGUCUGACGAGUUCCAAAUAGGAGGAAACGCGCGUCCGGAAU